rnacentral:rRNA from 1 species
UACGUAGGGUGCGAGCGUUGUCCGGAAUUAUUGGGCGUAAAGGGCUCGUAGGCGGUUUGUCGCGUCGGGAGUGAAAACCAGGUGCUUAACACCUGGCUUGCUUUCGAUACGGGCAGACUAGAGGUAUGCAGGGGAGAACGGAAUUCCUGGUGUAGCGGUGAAAUGCGCAGAUAUCAGGAGGAACACCGGUGGCGAAGGCGGUUCUCUGGGCAUGACCUGACGCUGAGGAGCGAAAGUGUGGGGAGCGAACGGG